rnacentral:rRNA from 1 species
AGUAAAGUGGCGAACGGGUGAUUAACACGCGGUAAUCUACCCUUUGGUCUGGGAUUCAUCGCGAAAGUGGUGCUAAUACCGGAUAAUAUCCACGGAUUCAGAGGGCUUUGCCCUCCCAGAGGAGGAGCUUGCGCCCCAUUAUCUAGAUGGUGAGGUAAUGGCUCACCAAGGAUCCGAUGGGUAGCCGGCCUGACAGGGUGUACGGCCACACUGGAACUGACACACGGUCUUGACUCCUACGGGAGGUUCCUCUGGGGAAUAUUGGUCAAUGGGCGAAAGCCUGAACCAGCAAUGCCGUGUGGGUGAUGAAGCUUCUAGGAGUGUAAAACCCUUUUAUGAGGGAAGAACGAAAUGCGGUUAAUAUCUGUAUUUCUUGACGGUACCUCAUGAAUAAUCCCCGGCUAACUCCGUGCCAUGUCCGCGGUAACACGGAGGGGGCAAGCGUUGUUCGGAAUUACUGGGCGUAAACGGCGUGUACGCGGCCUAGCAAGUCAGAUGUGAAAUCACCCGUGUCAACUCAGGAACUGCGUUUGAAACCGAUAGGCUUGACGCUAGGACAGAAAAGCGGAAUACCUGGUGUAGCGGUGAAAUGCGUAGAUAUCCUGAGGAACACCGGGGGCGAAAGCGGCUUUCUGGACUAGGUCUGACGGUGAGGUGUAAUAGCGUGGGGAGCGAACGGUAUUAGAUACCCCGUUAGUCCACGCUGUAAACGCAUGAGCACUAGGUGUAGCGGGUAUCGACCCUUGAUGUGUCGCAGCUAACGCAAUAAAUUUUCAGCUUGGUGAUUACGCACGCAAGUGUGAAACUCAAAGGAAUUUACGGGGCCCCGCCCAAGCGGUGGAGUAUGUGGUUUAAUUAGAUGCAUCGCGAAGAACCUUACCAGGGCUUUACAUGUAGGUGUUAGGAAGCCGAAAGGUAACCGACCCUUCGGGGAGCCUUCACAGGUACUGCAUGGCAGUGUUCAGUUCGUGUUGUGAGAUGUUGAAUGAAGUCCCGCAACGAGCGCAACCCUUACCCUUAGUUGCCAUCAGUUCGGGGGGGAACUCUAGGGGAACUGCCGGUGACAAACCGGAGGAAGGUGGGGAUGACGUCAAGUCCUCAUGGCCCUUAUGUCGUGGGCUACACACGUACUCCAAUCGUUGUUACAAUGAGUAGCAAUACCGCGAGGUGGAGCCAAUAUCAAAAAACGGGCCUCAAUUCAGAUUGGAGUCUGCAACUCGACUCCAUGAAGGUGGAAUCGCUUGUAAUCGUGGAUCAGCAUGCCGCGGGGAAUUCGUUUCCGGGGGUUGUACCCCCCGCCCGUCACACCACGAAAGU